AUUCCCAAUGACCCGGUAUUGUUUGACAUAACAACAUCGAGAUUUACUUAAAGAGUACAUCUUUGUGAAACUGGUUAGUGUGUGGCCGGCAAGAGGACCGAUCGACUGGCAUUAUGAAGCUCGCUUUAUUUUAUUUGUUUUCUGUGGCCGCCGUCAUAAUGGCCGACGACCUCUCGAGAGACCUCAGAACGGGAAAUGAUGCGUUUACAUCGAGAAUGUUUUCUGAAAUAGUGAAGGAGAAACCACAAGAGAGUGUUGUGCUGUCAGCAUACUCUGUUCUGACCCCAUUGGCUCAGCUAGCUUUGGCCUCUGAGGGUGAAUCGCACGACGAACUUUUGAAGGCAAUUGGCAUGCCCAACGACAAUGUGACUAAAGCUGCGUUUUCACAGGCCGAAAGAAGCCUCAAAUCCGUGAAAGGAGUGGAACUUAAAACAGCGAGUAAAAUAUACAUCGCGUCCAACUAUGAACUAAAUGAAAACUUUGCAACGACCACUCGUGAUGUGUUCAAUUCCGAAGUCAAAAACGUAGACUUUACUCAAGGACAGAAAACCGCUAGCGAAAUCAACGCUUGGGUUGAAGACCAAACGAAUAAAAAAAUUAAAGAUCUCGUUGACCCAGAUUCCUUGGAUGCCAAUACUCGUGCUGUUCUUGUCAACGCUAUCUACUUUAAGGGUCUCUGGAAGAGUCCGUUCAGCACUUACGCGACAUAUGACCAGGAGUUCCAUAUUACAAAAGAGAAAUCAGUAAAAAUUCCGAUGAUGUACCAAAAAUCUGACUUCAACUACGCCGAGGUUCCAGAGUUAGACGCAAAGAUCCUCCAAAUGUUCUAUGAAGGUGAUGAAGCAUCCAUGAUACUGGUUCUCCCCAAUGAAAUCGAUGGAAUAACCAAGCUAGAGGAGAAAUUACGAGACCCCUCGGCACUCAACAAAGCCAUAGCUAAAAUGUAUUCCACUGAGGUCGAAGUCACCAUUCCUAAGUUCAAAAUCGAAACUACAACAAACCUGAAAGAUGUUUUAUCAAAGAUGGACGUUACGAAACUAUUCACACCUGGACAAGCCCGUUUAACUAACCUGUUAAAGGGAGAGGGUGACUUAUUUAUAAGUGAAGCCAUACAGAAGGCUUUCAUUGAAGUCAAUGAGGAAGGCGCAGAAGCUGCAGCAGCCAACGCAUUUCUACCGGUCGCUUCCAGCCUUAUUUUAGAUGAACCACAGGCAAAAUUCUUCGUGGCUGACAGACCGUUUUAUUUUGAAAUUAGAACCGAAUCAACUCCCAUUUUCAGUGGAGUCAAAUUUGAAUGAAUCAAAUUUCAAAUUUAGAAUUUAAUACGCACUGAAAUGUAAUAAAAAAAUUGUUAUCGACCGAAAAAACUAAAGUGGUUUACUAAACUUCGUUCAUAAUUGUCAAAAUUCACUUUGAUAUUUAUAUUUUUAAAUUCAAAAUUGAAAAAAUUAAAAAUAAAUGUAUUAAAAACAUGAUUUUUGAUCAUAUUUCCCUCAUUAAACACACACACACAAUAUUUAAAAGGUACGUAUGUUUUUUUCAGGCUUCCUACAAUUGCAUUAUUAUGUUAAUUCAGAAAGAUUUUACGCUGAUUCGCCUUUUCUAUUCUUCGUAAAAGUUAAUUACAGCACUCUCUUUAAUGGUGUCUUCUAUUCUUAGGUUUUAAUACUCAGUGGCGAAGAGAAAACCGAGAAUUUAGGAAUAGUGUACACUAUUUUAAAAUAAAUGCUUCAAAGGAA